UUCGAUCCUUUAAUCAUUUUUUUUUUGCACUUUUUCAGAAACUCCGAUUAGAUUUUUUUUUCACACCUCAUUUAGAAAAAUCUAAUUGGAGUUUUCUUUGAACACCAAAAAAAGAAAUCUACGAUUUGUUUUAAAGAAGUUAAUUCUAUGUUCAAAUAAUUAGUCGAAAUUAUAAUUGAGAAUAUUCUCAAAAAUAGAUCGAAAUAUAAUAAAACAAGAGCUUAUCAGGUUUUCAGCUAUGGAAUGGAGGCAAAUUUGUUAAAAUUUUAUAUAAUAAAGAAAUGCUGCUGUGGUCAACCUACCUUAGUAUCUAGAUAUUUACUCGUAUCGUUUAUAGAUUUUGUUUCUUCUACUAUAACACAAGAAAAGUAUAUAAUUCAGUAUAAUUCACUUGCCAAAUAAGAAAGCAACCCUACAGGCCAUCUUUGACAAAUCAAUGACUAAAUCUUUUUAUUGUUUAACUCGUGACGGGUUUAUAUAUGACUGCAUCUCCUUCACACACCGUGAUUCGUUGAUACUUUAAAGAAAUAAUAUUUCUCUAUCCACGCACAAAAAUAAGCGCAAAAACGCCAAAGAAUAUCACCCUAAUCCAG
rnacentral:lncRNA from 1 species